rnacentral:tRNA from 1 species
GCCUAGCUGGCUCAGUUGGUAGAGCACGUGAAUCUUGAUUUUGGAGUUGUGAGUUUGAGCCCCACACUGGGUG